rnacentral:rRNA from 1 species
GACAGAGGGGGCAAGCGUUGCUCGGAAUUACUGGGCGUAAAGGGCGCGUAGGCGGAGCGGCAAGUCGGUCGUGAAAUCCCUCGGCUCAACUGAGGAACGUCGAUCGAUACUGCCGUUCUUGAGGGUUGCAGAGGAGACUGGAAUUCCCGGUGUAGCGGUGAAAUGUGUAGAGAUCGGGAGGAACACCGGUGGCGAAAGCGGGUCUCUGGGCAACUCCUGACGCUGAGGCGCGAAAGCGUGGGGAGCAAACGGG